rnacentral:rRNA from 1 species
GACAGAGGCCUCAAGCGUUAGGCGGAAUCACUGGGCUUAAAGCGUGUGUAGGCGGGUCGUUAAGUGUCUUGUGAAAUCCCCCGGCUCAACCGGGGAAUGGCUGGGCAUACUGGCGAUCUUGAGCAGUCUAGGGGCAGAUGGAACAGACGGUGGAGCGGUGAAAUGCGUAGAUAUCGUCUGGAACGCCAAAGGUGAAGACAGUCUGCUGGGGACUUGCUGACGCUGAGACACGAAAGCCAGGGGAGCGAACGGG